AGCAGGUCCUGCAGCCGUGAGCUAAAAGCAAAGUCAAACAGCAGCAGGAGUCCAAUGUAGCCCUGUCCCACCCGAGAGCCCCAAGGCUGAGGCCUUCUUAGAGGCAGUGGCCAUGCCUCUCUCCACCCAGAAGAGACCAUCCCACAGCCUGACCUUUUCACCUGUGAAUCUCCAAGAAUCAGAAGAGAGAAUACAAGUGUCAAGGAAAAUCCUCGCCGCGGGGCACCGUCAGCAGGGGCUGAGGGCUGCAGGCUGGGGGGUGGCCAUGCUGAGGCCCCACCCAAGACGGGUGGACAGAACCUGCCCAGAGACCCCCAAGGGGGUCCCUGCCAGCUGGGCUCACACCUGCCCACGGCCAGCCAGGCGUAGGUCCCAGAAUCCACCACCAGAUGGCCACACAAGCCCACAGAAGGGCUGCAGGCGCGAGGACCCUGAGGGUGGGCCUGGAGCAGGGGCGUUAUCCUUUCACAGUCGAGGACUCACGCUGGAAGGGGAGGCCCCAGCACCGGCCACGACCCACCUCCAGGCUCUUUCCCAGGCUCAUUCUGCAGACCAGGGCAGAGGACACGGCGGGCCCCAGGGAGGCCAGGGCCCACGGAUGCCCCUUCCCGGGCAGGCUUCCACCGUCCCCUCUGCAGCCACGGACAGGCGUUCUCUGUCAGGCACAGUCACAAAACUUCUAAGACUUAAUUAAAAUCAAUCUCUGAUUACUCAAAUGCCAUCGACUUGGGGCUCGACCGAUAGGGAAAAUACGGUCAUCAUUGUGGGAAACGUCGAUACGAGGGCAUCCACCAUCCAUCUCCGUGCAGAGCUGGCUGGGGCCCUCCUGCGCUCCAGCCCGGGUCCACCCGUUGCUGGCUCAGAAGUUCUGUCCAGUUUCUGAGACGGAUGCCUCCUGGGGUGGCUCCCCGGAGUCGGCGGCGGCCGUGGGGACCCCUGGCUGCGUCAUCUCACGGAGAAUCCAUGGCUCCCACUCUGUCAGCCCCGUGGCCUUGAUGGGAACCCUCUCACUCAAGCAGGUUUGGGGGCCUGGAGCUCACUGGACGGCUGCUGGCCAGUGACCUGCUGGGACACCCAGGGCUCUGUGCCCUUUGGGUCAAACCGCCAGGUUCAGCCUCCCCAGGGAAGUGAGGACGGAGAUCAGGGCGCAUCCACAGAUCCAUGAAGUCCAGGAGGGAGGAGGUGACCCUGUGCUGGGUGGGAGAAGCCAUCACAGACCCCUGAGCCUGUUCCCCGGGGGCCGAAGACAGCCCUGGCGAGGCCUCAAGGGCAGCCCACGGUGGAGAGGGACCCUGGGAGACAGCCAGGGUUCCGGGGGAGGAAACCACCUGAUCUGGUUUCUGUUUGUCCUUAGAGAAAAAAGUAUCAGCCCUCAGCUCUCCUGCCCUUAAAAUAAAAAGUCGAGUAAAGCACUUCCCA
rnacentral:lncRNA from 1 species